rnacentral:lncRNA from 1 species
GGUUGUGAAUUUGGGGGCUAGGUGCAGGUAGUCAUUUUCACAGAGCAUCUAGCAUAGAGGAGGGCCUCAGCAAGUUUGCUAAAUUGAAAUCAUGGAAUACGAAUUUAAAUUAAAGCCUCAUGGUGCCAAAUUACUGCUGGCUUUAUAGGGAGCCAUGGUGCAAUAGAACUAAAGUCCUUGUUGCAGUGACAAUGAUUCCUUUUUUACCAUGGCACAGCCACAGAGUAUGGGGUCACUGGGAAAAAAGCCAGGAAAAAGUAGUCUCAGAAAUAAAUAGUAUAGGGAGGAUUCUGAAAGAUUAGAAAAGGUUAGAGGUCCAAAUAAUUGGGAAAGCAUGCAAAAUGUCUGUUGUUACCAGAGUUCUAAAGUGUUGGGAGGAAAAGAUCCAAGCUGACGAACUCUGGGUUGACAGAAGAGAAAUUCCCAGAGGUCAAUGUAGGCACAAUGUACCUAGUCCUGAUGGACGUAUAAGUGAUGGUGCCAUGGUUUCAGCCUCAUGAAGCAAAGCUUGGCUCAACUACGGGCCUCUGAUCCACUUUCUGCCUGGGUGAUGACUGGUUCUGGGUUCUGUGUAGGUCUGAGCCUCCACGGGCCAAUAGAAACUGACUUCACUUGAUUGCAGAUAGGAUGAGAAUAGUAGCUGAACUUAAAUUCAGACAAACUUUGCAUGGGUUUGGAGUUUUGCCGUAUAAAAUUUGAGCUAAGCUUCUUUAGUUGCUCAGUUGUGGUUCUGGAUUGGAGGAAAAGGACCAGAAAUGAGGGAAUUCUAUCCUCUUAUGGCUUUUCGUACCACUAAUUAAGACCUCAAAAUUAUCUUUUCUAACAUUACUACAGCUACUAGGUGAUCUAGAUGUAUAAUUAAAUACUCCUCUAUUCUUUAUGUUUUUUGUUCACUUUGAGGAACAGAAAUAAAAUAAACGUUUAGGCAUAUGGGAAGUUAUAUGAAAGGACUACCUGCUUCCACUGUAAUAAUCUAUAAAAUAAAAAUUGGGAAGCUGUUGUCUCAAAAAGACUGUAAUAUAUCAGACUUAAAAGCUGUUCUUUUUAGCCUUGAUAUUGUAUAGAUGAUGCGCAGCAGCGUAAAUAGUUUUAUGUAUCUGAUCCUGUGCCUCAAAUUGGGUUGAAAUACUGGCUUUGGUGCCGUACUGAUUUUGAAAAAAGUGGCAAAAUUAACAGCUUAAGUAGUAACUGCUUAAGAGAUGUGAUUGCUCUGUUGCUCUGUGUGAGCCUUUGGGAACUUUUGUGCUAUUACCGUUAGUGUGAAAUCAAAUUGGUGACCAAUAUGUAGUCUAACAGUUGCUCUGUGACCAUCAGUAAUAAUUUAGUGAUGGAGUUCAAAUCAUAAGUGAAAACAUUUUUCCCCCUCCAAGAACGUGAACCAUACCUUCUUUCUUAACUUCUGAGCAGACUUGGUCUGUCUUACAAGAAAGACCUGUCUUUACUAGAGAUGUGACUCAUUAAAAUAGAAACAGCUCUCCAAUAUGACAAUUUAACACUCUUCCUCAGUACUGGAUUUACUUGGAAAAUGUACAUCUUCAAAUUCUUGGUCAUGGAACAUCUGAACAAGCACAAACACUUCUACAACCCAUAAUUGUUAGUUUAGACCAUUAAAAAAAAGUGCAUUUUUUUUUGUGGAUUAAAGACUUAGACCUCAGGCAUUGAGUCCCUUAAACCCCCA